rnacentral:rRNA from 1 species
GCAUAUCAAUAAGCGGAGGAAAAGAAAAUAACAAUGAUUCCCCUAGUAACUGCGAGUGAAGAGGGAUAAGCUCAAAUUUUAAAUCCGUUAGGUUUUACCUAACCGAAUUGUAAUUUGAAGAAGCGUUUUCCGUGAGUGUUUGAUGGUCCAAGUCCUUUGGGAAGAGGUAUCAUGGAGGGUGACAAUCCCGUACGACCAUCAUUGCUUGUGUACGAUACGCUUUCAAAGAGUCAAGUUGUUUGGGAUUGCAGCUUAAAAUGGGAGGUAAAUUUCUCCUAAGGCUAAAUAUUGGUGAGAGACCGAUAGCGAACAAGUACCGUGAGGGAAAGAUGAAAAGCACUUUGAAAAGAGAGUUAAAUAGUACGUGAAAUUGUCGAAAGGGAAACGAUUGAAGCCAGUCGUACCGACGGAGAAUCAACUUUUGGAAUGCGAGUUGGGGUAUUCGAGGAGUUUAAAAGCCUUCGUGUGCUCAUGUAUUCGUGUUUCUUGGGUGCACUUCUUCGUUUUUGGUAGGUUAACAUCAAUUUUGGACGUUACAAAAUGACUGGGGGAAUGUAGCUUCGAUUUUUCGAAGUGUUAUAGCCCUUGGUAGAUGUGGCGACCGGGAUUGAGGAUUGCAACGAAUGCUUUCGGGCUAUCCUUCUGACCUCUGGUGGUCGCUUUGGGGUCGAAAGCGUGCUUACGACUUCUAAGUUGGCUAUCAAAAGGCUAGAAUGUGAUUAAAUUCGUUAAGGAUGUUGACGUA